AGUGAACGCUGGCGGUAGGCCUAACACAUGCGAGUCGAACGGCAGCACAGAGGAGCUUGCUCCUUGGGUGGCGAGUGGCGGACGGGUGAGGAAUACAUCGGAAUCUACUCUGUCGUGGGGGAUAACGUAGGGAAACUUACGCUAAUACCGCAUACGACCUACGGGUGAAAGUAGGGGAUCUUCGGACCUUGCGCGAUUGAAUGAGCCGAUGUCGGAUUAGCUAGUUGGCGGGGUAAAGGCCCACCAAGGCGACGAUCCGUAGCUGGUCUGAGAGGAUGAGCAGCCACACGGGAACUGAGACACGGUCCAGACGCCUACGGGAGGCAGCAGUGGGGAAUAUUGGACAAUGGGCGCAAGCCUGAUCCAGCCAUACCGCGUGGGUGAAGAAGGCCUUCGGGUUGUAAAGCCCUUUUGUUGGGAAAGAAAUCCAUCUGGCUAAUACCCGGGUGGGAUGACGGUACCCAAAGAAUAAGCACCGGCUAACUUCGUGCCAGCAGCCGCCGUAA
rnacentral:rRNA from 1 species